rnacentral:lncRNA from 1 species
UAGAUACAUCAUUGAUAUCUUUUCUAUAACUGCCUUUCACAUCCCCCAUCCUAUUUGAAGGAACCUCUAAACAAAUACAAAUAUACUGAAAUGAAAAUGAAAACAAAACCCAAACACAUGUAUCUGCAUAUUGUUUGUGACAGUCUAUUGGAAUACCAGAGGUAUUUUGUUUGGACCCUAUAUGUUAGUAUUUGUAAAUAAGAAUUGCUAAUUUAGAGCUCAUGCUAAUUCAUUAAAACAAAACAAAACAAAACCUCUUUGCUUCGUGAGGUAAAUGUUUCUGUGUUUUCAAAGCAAAAAUGGCACAGGUUAACUGUAAGGUAUAUAGAAUAACUACAGGGAGAAUUAACAUUUGCUCAUAUUUUUUGAUGUUUGAUAAAGCUGGUGAUGCAAAGUAUUAGAUAAAGUCCAAUAUGUUUCAUUUUGCUUUGGUAAUCUACUUAGGGAAGGCAGUGUAAAAUCAAUCUCGUCAAGCAGAAGAGAGUUGGUGGAGUCUAAAUUCUAUUUUCAAAAGCAAGCUAGUUCAUAACAAUGGCGGAUUUUUCCUAAUACAAAUUGAAAGUGGAUCCUCUGAAUGCAAAGCUGCAAUUGUUUUUAAAACGGUUAUUUAUUAUUUCCUAGAGAGACUGGUUAACUGUAAAGUAGAUGUAACAAAAUAAUGAGGUGAAUGAACCCUAACUGUACAUAUUCUUGACAUAAAUGAAAUGCACAGUGCUGUAGCAGGUGAAAUGAAGCAUUGUCUAUCAGGGCUGUUUUUCUUGGCUGCAUCUCAGAUUGUGUGGGGGAUCCUAACCUCAGGCACAAUAGCAUUCAUAAACAGCAAUACAUUGCUGCUCUUUCUACAACAACACAUAAAUACUCAUUUUUAAAUGGAAACAAUCUUAUUAAAUACCAUUCAUUCAUAUCUGGAUUUACAGAUGCUUGUUACUUUUGAAAUCCUGUACCCAAUAUAAUCCUUGCAUCCUGAGCAAGAGAAAAAAGGAAGUGUUGUGUUAGAACAUUACAAGGUCAUAAUAAACAAUGCUUUCAAAAUAUAUAGAAUUAGUUCAUUUUAUUCUAUAGUUGUGCAUUUUAAGGAUCAUGGUUCUUUGCAUAGUUUUUUUUUUUCCCCC